CCUGGUGCAAAAAGUUGGGGACCGCUGACUUACUGGUGCAGGCACUGUUCCAGAUUCUGAAAACACAGCGUGAUUCUUGCUGCGGUGUCCUCGACCGAGUCUCCUCCCUCUGGAUCUGUGUUUCCAGCUGUGAAAUGAGGAUUUAGGGUUGUCAUCAGUUGGUGUUCUAGGGCUCCUAUGUCAGAAUGACAGUGGUGGCAGGGGACAUGCGCCAUCCGCCUGGCUGUUUCACAUAUCGGAUCCCCGAGAUGUAACCUGUCGUAACCACCUGGCGACUCUGCUGAGAGUCUCUGGAGCGACAGGUGUGCAUACACGCCCUCAGGCACCUGGAGAACUGGGCCCUCGGAGUUCUGCUGUGGCCGAUGAGGAAACUGAGACACAGUGAAGAGACUGUCUUACACAGCCGGUGGUGGAGGGCAAUUGGACUCAAACCAAGGCUUGCUGGCUCC